CCCACGUGGUUUCAUCGAAGCUGUACGUCACACUCGAGAAACGACAGACGAGCGAAUCAGACCGCACGCACUUUGCACGACGCCGAAUCUAUAUUCAAGAAAAACUACGAUAAACGCUCGCAUACGAAUUUUCUCAAUUUCUCUCUCCAAAGGAAUCAACAAUUCUCCAAAGCAGCACGGGAAUUCACAGUUAAAUGAGUCGAUCGGAAAAAUCGUACAGGGGCACGCGUGUGCACGGUUGAUGAAAAUUCGAAAAAAAUGACUCCCGCCUCUCCGUGCGGUAUCUCUUUUGUACAGCUGUUGGACGAGAGCGACGGACACACGCGAGUCUGCACAGUGAACGAGCUCGUGGUGAAAAUCCAGGAACAGGAAUAAACAGCUGAUAUGCGUCUUGUCAAUUACAAGUAUACGAAAUUGGCACGAAGUGAAGACGCAUGAAAGAACUGCCAGGUCGAGACGUCUUGGAGUGCAUAAUUGAAAGAUCUAUUUUACAUCCUUGGGACUGUGCUUUAUGCUCUGCGAACCUAUUAACCAAUGGCAAAUGUACGAAAAGAUGCUUGGAAUAAUUCCGAAACGUCGAGAAUAAGAAUUUCCUCGUCGGGAAACGUUGAGAAAUGUUCGCAAAUCGUAAUUCGAGCGCGUGACGGUAAGUUCCGGAAACUGGAAGGCUCGAAAGGGUACGCUCUUGAUAAGGGAUGUUGCGAGAGUGGUGGAACUGGAUGGCACGUCGAGAGCAAAGUUCAUCUCUCUUCCCCGAUGGCUCUUACGCUAGUCCUCGACCGCAAGGAUCCACUUAUCUCCUGGCUUCCUGUGCCCCGCGUCAAGAGCAUAUAUGUAUUAUUUAGGAUCUUAACAACCGAAAGGGCGUAUAAACAUUAAUUCGAGGGAUUAAGCAGCUAAGUUACGACCGUUAAACUUGAAGCCAUACGAGACAUAAUGGUAACACCCUCUAGGAUGGUAUAGAGACGAGACCCUCGCUAAUACUUUGGCCCCUUGUAACUCAUCCCCAGGCUUUCUGUAACACAUAUAUAGACGCUCAUAUGUAUACAUGUAUACGAAGAGCCAGUGUCACUAUAAAUGUGGAAUCGGACGAGAAUGUCUGCCAUCUUCUCGAGCACCACACGGAUUAACUCUCGACAACUAAGUACAUUCUUCGCUUAUCACAUCUCCCACGUAUGAUACAAUGAUCUUUACGAUUGGAUUUUGGAACCCCUUCAAACUCGUGGAGAUUGAGCUGUGCACUCAGACACGAAUCACCCAAUCCGCAAAUCAGUCUUGUCUGCAUAACUGCUUUGAGUUAUAGUAGCGUUGGCCCAGUCCAUUCUUGGGGCGAUAAAUUACUGGGUUGUUAAUCUAUAACUGGAUUCUGAAUCGUUCUGAAUUCAUGGGUCCAAAUCAUCACGGUUUUAACGGCCGUCUUUUAGUUUGGAAAUGACAUCUGAUAAUCGGAGACGUUUGCAGACUUUUACCUUAUUUGCUUUAACUUAAUUAACUUACAACGCAUUUUAGCGGUUAACUGCUCCAUUGUGACGGCAUUUCUUUCGUUGGGGUCUGGACCUUUGAUUUUGGACGCAAGCGAUCAAGCUUUGUACUGUUCCAAACUUCAAGAAGAUGGAUUUGUUAUGUAGGUAAUACGAUAAAUAUGAGAAAGAAAUUGUCAAAAAAUAAACGUUGUUUAUCAUUA
rnacentral:lncRNA from 1 species